rnacentral:rRNA from 1 species
UACGAAGGGGGCGAGCGUUGUUCGGAGUUACUGGGCGUAAAGGGCGCGCAGGCGGCUCUGAAAGUCAGAUGUGAAAGCCCCGGGCUUAACCUGGGAAUUGCAUUUGAUACUCUGGAGCUUGAGUACGGGAGAGGAGAGUGGAAUUCCCAGUGUAGAGGUGAAAUUCGUAGAUAUUGGGAAGAACACCGGUGGCGAAGGCGGUCUGCUGGGCCAAGACUGACGCUGAGGCGCGACAGCGUGGGGAGCAAACAGG